rnacentral:rRNA from 1 species
UACGUAGGGUGCAAGCGUUGUCCGGAAUUAUUGGGCGUAAAGAGCUCGUAGGCGGUUUGUCGCGUCUGCUGUGAAAACCCGAGGCUCAACCUCGGGCCUGCAGUGGGUACGGGCAGACUAGAGUGCGGUAGGGGAGACUGGAAUUCCUGGUGUAGCGGUGGAAUGCGCAGAUAUCAGGAGGAACACCAAUGGCGAAGGCAGAUCUCUGGGCCGUAACUGACGCU